rnacentral:lncRNA from 1 species
UGAGGUAUUUGCUGUGCACAUUUAUCUUCUGCAAUUUUCAUGUCCUCAGUGCAUUUUCAAAUAUCACCCUGAAGGAUUUCUUUGGAGAAUAUGAUCCUUCUUACACGAGGAAGAACGCAAAUAUAUCAUCCUGAAGUAUUACUUUGGAGAAUAUGAUCUUUCUUACAGAAGGAAGAACCUGAUGGUUUAGUUGCUGUGAUAGGGUUGCUUGUUCUAUUUCAACCGGAGUGUUAAACGGUGUACCUACUUAUUAGAUCCUAUGAUGCUUGUAUGCUGUGUCUCUUUGUGACGGGAUCCAUGAACUUUGUCGUUACACAUGUUACAUAGGCUCAUCCAUGUCCUGUUAAUUUCAAAGCUGUAUCGAAGUCGUAAUAUAUGUGGCUGGACUGGGUAUAUGCCUCAUCUCUUGUUUAUCAUACUUACUGGUUGGAUGAGUUUGUGGUCGUUUUCCAAAAUAAGCACGGAGAUGUUUGAAGAAGAAUGCCCUUCAACCUUGCUUGCGCUUGUUUUACUCAUUUGUAUGGGCGGCUUAAACU